CCUAACACAUGCAAGUCGAACGAGAUCUUCGGAUCUAGUGGCGCACGGGUGCGUAACGCGUGGGAAUCUACCCAAGGGUACGGAAUAACUCAGGGAAACUUGUGCUAAUACCGUAUAAUGUCUUCGGACCAAAGAUUUAUCGCCCAUGGAUGAGCCCGCGUUGGAUUAGCUAGUUGGUGGGGUAAUGGCCCACCAAGGCGACGAUCCAUAGCUGGUCUGAGAGGAUGAUCAGCCACACUGGGACUGAGACACGGCCCAGACUCC
rnacentral:rRNA from 2 species